AUGGCCAUUGUCCCAUGCGUGGCCAAUAAAUUUUACACUGCUGAGGGGAGCGACCAGCUCGUGGUUGUGGUGUCUGGUUGCUCCAUCUGGGGUUUGGCGUUUUUUGAACAGGUUGAUUUGACUCCGCAUAGCGUCUGCGUCCUCACCUCGCUCAAGGUUAAAAAUGUUGGCUUGGAGCCUAUCCCUAAAGUCUUGCUGGCUUUUCUGAACAUCCAAGCAAAAAACAUGGCAGUGAUCAGAGCAUUUGGUACUGAGGGAAAAGUGAAGGGUCUGAGUAGUGUUCUUUCAAUUGAAGUUGUUGAGCCUUCUGGUGUGCCCCCAGAACCGGCUUUCUUUCAGCAUCAUUAA
rnacentral:rRNA from 1 species